rnacentral:lncRNA from 1 species
GGUAGAAGGGUGAGCUUCGCUUUAAGUGCACAGGUGAACUGAAGUUGCUCCUGUCUAGAAUCAGAUUAAACUUCCUUGCUUGCUUUCCAUUAAUUGUUUUGUGUAUUCAUAUUUUAAAUGGUAGCUAAGUCCACCAUUGUGACUUCUGUCAGUGGCCCAGUCCUCAUUGAUGGACAAAUAAAAAUAGUACUAACAAUCCUAAAAAAAUAUGUAUCAAGAGGUUACUGCAGUAACUGCUUAUGGAACCAAGGAUGCCUCAGCAUUGUUUGAAUAAUACAUUUUCAAGCAUAGCUAUGGG